rnacentral:rRNA from 1 species
AGUGAACGCUGGCGGUAGGCCUAACACAUGCAAGUCGAACGGCAGCACAGUAAGAGCUUGCUCUUACGGGUGGCGAGUGGCGGACGGGUGAGGAAUACAUCGGAAUCUACUUUUUCGGGGGGGAUAACGUAGGGAAACUUACGCUAAUACCGCAUACGACCUACGGGUGAAAGCAGGGGAUCUUCGGACCUUGCGCGAUUGAAUGAGCCGAUGUCGGAUUAGCUAGUUGGCGGGGUAAAGGCCCACCAAGGCGACGAUCCGUAGCUGGUCUGAGAGGAUGGUCAGCCGCACUGGAACUGAGACACGGUCCAGACUCCUACGGGAGGCAGCAGUGGGGAAUAUUGGACAAUGGGCGCAAGCCUGAUCCAGCCAUACCGCGUGGGUGAAGAAGGCCUUCGGGUUGUAAAGCCCUUUUGUUGGGAAAGAAAAGCAGCAGGUUAAUACCCCGCUGUUCUGACGGUACCCAAAGAAUAAGCACCGGCUAACUUCGUG